AUGCUGUUGUGGCUGUUGACCUCCCAGUGCUGCGUGAUGAAAGCUGUUGGAGCUGUUUGUCAUAGAGGUGGAUCGGGAAUCUGCUGGUUCAUGCCAGCCAACUUAGAGGUGUUGUGGUGGAGUGACUAUAGUUAGUCCAUAACUCAUGAUGCUCUCCAUUCAGAGGACACCUCAGGGCCCACAUAACACCCAGCGAGACUCAAUCACAGCCUACGCAGAAUCGAUAAUCCUGGAGAUAGUUGAGAGGGAGGGAGAAAAAGAUUGAAAGUUGCUGCUGGAGAGAGAGAAAGGGUAGAAGACGUGAAGAUGAGGGGGAAAAAGAUGGGAACUUGGGAGAUCAGGGCCUGGAAGAGGAGGAGAUGAAAGAUGAGGGCUGGUUUUCACACAAACCCCCAAAGGCCCCGUUGCUGACUUUGUUUUUAUCUGAUGAUGUGAGGACAUUGUAGAGGUGAAAGGUGAAAGAAAAAGAGAGAAAAGAAAAAUACAAUGAACUGUAAGAGAGGAAAGAAACGGCAGAGGGAACAAAAACAUGAAGGGUAAGUUCAAAUACAGUAAAAAUAGAUGGGUACGCUCACAUUUACAGACCCUCACAGUGGUUUUCAUAUCAUUCACAACAACUUUACUCGACGUGCAUUAAAAUGCAGUCGUCUCAUAGUUAUGAGCAAAUAGAUUUUGGAAGUUUUCAUGUUUAAAUCAAAGUUCAAACAAUUUGCCACCUGCUACUGUCUACAUAUAUAGUCACUUUAGACCAGAGUAGUUUGCUUCAUGAUCCUGCAGAGGUCACACUAAUAUCAGCUCAGCAUCACUAAAUGCAUUCCCUCACGACUCCAUUGGGUGUUUCACAUCCAAACGGCUGAAGCAGUGAGCAGCUGAUUCACUCUGCGCGGACUAAAGAGGCUAUCUCAGCAAAGGCAGCAUCUACAGGGCUUUAAAGAUGACUUCUCAAAAGAGAAGAGUGAAGGAACAGAUAAGGAGCAUCUGCAUUUUUCUGGGGGUGGAGCUUCAGGAAAUCA
rnacentral:lncRNA from 1 species